CGGGUUGUAGCACGGACUUUCUGUUUCUUGUAAAGGACUGUCAUGUAAAUACAAUAUCUGUACCUUUAAAAUGAUAUGAUUUUGAUAUUGUAAAAGGAGGGGGGUUAUAGUAAAUGCAUAAAUGGAUGCGGGCGAAUAUUAAUUUAGUAAAAAAUGAUGCGAGAUUGAAUAAGCCAAGACCAUUGAUACAUAUACGUUAAAAAUACUGAUUUUUGGGCGCCUUGAAUUUAUAAUAUCUUAAGGG
rnacentral:lncRNA from 1 species